UCUACGGGAGGCAGCAGUGGGGAAUAUUGCACAAUGGGGGAAACCCUGAUGCAGCGACGCCGCGUGAGCGAGGAAGUAUUUCGUUAUGUAAAGCUCUAUCAGCAGGGACGAAAAAACACGGUACCUGACUAAGAAGCACCGGCUAACUACGUUCCAGCAGCCGCGGUAAUAGGUAGGGGGCAAGCGUUAUCCGGAUUUACUGGGAGUAAAGGGGGGGUAGACGGGAAGGCAAGCCAGAAGUGAAAGGGCAGGGAUCAACCCUGUACAUGGUUUUGGAACGGUGGUGCUAGAGUGCAGGAGAGGUAAGUGGAAUUCCUGGGGUAGCGGUGAAAUGCGUAGAUAUUAGGAGGAACACCAGUGGCGAAGGCGGCUUACUGGACUGUAACUGACGUUGAGGCUCGAAAGCGUGGGGAGCAAACAGGAUUAGAUACCCUGGUAGUC
rnacentral:rRNA from 1 species